GACGAACGUUGGCGGCGUGCUUAACACAUGCAAGUCGAGCGGAAAGGCCACUUCGGUGGUACUCGAGCGGCGAACGGGUGAGUAACACGUGAGUAAUCUGCCCCUGGCUUUGGGAUAGCCACCGGAAACGGUGAUUAAUAACGGAUACGACCACUUCUCGCAUGGGAUGGUGGUGGAAAGUUUUUUCGGCCAGGGAUGUGCUAGCGGCCUAUCAGCUUGAUGGUGAGGUAAUGGCUCACCAUGGCUUCGACGGGUAGCCGGCCUGAGAGGGUGACCGGUCACACUGGGACUGAGACACGGCGCAGACUCCUACGGGAGGCAGCAGUGGGGAAUAUUGGACAAUGGGCGGAAGCCUGAUCCAGCAACGCCGCGUGAGGGAUGACGGCCUUCGGGUUGUAAACCUCUUUCAGCAGGGACGAAGCGCAAGUGACGGUACCUGCAGAAGAAGCACCGGCCAACUACGUGCCAGCAGCCGCAGUAA
rnacentral:rRNA from 1 species